rnacentral:rRNA from 1 species
GACGAACGCUGGCGGCGUGCCUAAUACAUGCAAGUUGAGCGCUGAAGGUUGGUACUUGUACCAACUGGAUGAGCAGCGAACGGGUGAGUAACGCGUGGGGAAUCUGCCUUUGAGCGGGGGACAACAUUUGGAAACGAAUGCUAAUACCGCAUAAUAACUUUAAACACAAGUUUUAAGUUUGAAAGAUGCAAUUGCAUCACUCAAAGAUGAUCCCGCGUUGGAUUAGCUAGUUGGUGAGGGAAAGGCUCACCAAGGCGAUGAUACAUAGCCGACCUGAGAGGGUGAUCGGCCACAUUGGGACUGAGACACGGCCCAAACUCCUACGGGGGGCAGCAGUAGGGAAUCUUCGGCAAUGGACGGAAGUCUGACCGAGCAACGCCGCGUGAGGGAAGAAGGUUUUCGGAUCGUAAAACUCUGUUGGUAGAGAAGAACGUUGGUGAGAGUGGAAAGCUCAUCAAGUGACGGUAACUACCCAGAAAGGGACGGCUAACUACGUG